GCAUUAACUUAGGGUCCGAAUGGU
rnacentral:siRNA from 1 species